GACGAACGCUGGCGGCGUGCCUAAUACAUGCAAGUCGAACGCAGUGGGGACGGGUGAGUAACACGUGGGUAACCUCCCAUCAGAGGGGAUAACACUUGGAAACAGGUGCUAAACCGAUACUGAUGGAUGAACCCGCGGUGCAUUAGCUAGUUGGUUAGUUAACGGCUCACCAAGGCCACGAUGGAUAGCCGACCAGAGAGGGUGAUCGGCCACACGUGGACUGAGACACGGCACAGACUCCGACGGUAGGAAGCAUUAGGGAAUUUUCGGCAAUGGACGAAAGUCUGACCGAGCAACGCCGAGUGAGUGAAGAAGGUUUUCGGAUCGUAAAAAUCUGUUGUUAGAGAAGCGGUAUCUAACCAGAAAGCCACGGCUGACUACGUGCCAGCAGCCGGGGUAAUAG
rnacentral:rRNA from 1 species